UGAGUGAUGACUUUUUCCUUUCACUUUCUUGAUGGUGUACUGAGUGCUAGUUCUGCUAAAGUCAGGCUUCGUUAAAACCCUCAGUGGGUAUCCUAUACUGGACCUGCUGUGGCAUAAUAACGUAUCGCGCGAAAGGCCCUCUUUAGCAUGUAUCCUCAAUAAACUAGCUCUACUCCAAGCAAAGUUUUUUUCAGCCAUCGGUGCACCUAAGUUAUGACCAAAUGUUUAUCCGCAUAUAAACAUCUGGAUCAACUUACAGUCAAACCUAUGGUCACGAUGUCGAAGCGAAAGAGAAACAGUUAAUCGACCCUCGAGAAUCAAGAGCACGUGCGAAACGGCGAGACUUGAAUGGUUAUCAGACAGUCACUCAUCCAAGGACUGACCGCGCCGAAUGCAGCUUAACCUCGGAGAUCGACGGAACUGUAACUCUGCCGUGGCGCCACCGCGACCACACAGUAUAUAUGUAUACUUCGUAGCAGAUGCUAUAAUUAUAGUUGAAAGACUGUAUUCAUAUAUUA